GUCUACAGCCAUACCAGUCUGAACGUGCUCAAAUUCGUCUGAUCUUGGAAGCUAAGCAGGUAGGGCCUGGUUAGUACUUGGAUGGGAGAUCAUCUAGGAAUACUAGGUGAUGUAGGCA
rnacentral:rRNA from 1 species